rnacentral:rRNA from 1 species
GACGGAGGGUGCAAGCGUUGUUCGGAAUUACUGGGCGUAAAGCGCGGGCAGGUGGCCUUUUAAGUCCUUUGUGAAAUUCCGGAGCUCAACUCCGGAUGUGCAUAGGAUACUGGAAGGCUAGAGACUGGUAGAGGCGAGCGGAAUUCCUGGUGUAGCGGUGAAAUGCGUAGAUAUCGAGAGGAACACAUGCGGCGAAGGCGGGUUGUUGGGCUGACACUGACGCUGAUGCGCGAAAGCUAGGGGAGCGAACGGG